UCAUGGGUCGAUGAAGACCGCAGCAAAUUGCGCGUCGCCGUGUGAACUGCAGGACACAUGAUCAUUGACAUGUUGAACGCAUAUUGCGCCUUAUACAAUUGGUUCUCUUUAAAAGGAAAACUGUAUAAGGUACAUAUGGUUGAGUGUCGUAAUUUCAUUAAAUUUCAACUAAAAGUGUCAUAUAAUGAUGCAUAAUAGAAUGUCAUUAAAGCUAUCCUCUCAUAUUUACAUUUGUAUAUGUGUAUACACAUAUGAUGAUAAUCUAUGACUAAAAUUCUGAUUAAUGUCAGUUUACGCCACUUUUUCUCGCUCAUGCUUAUGUGUAUGUUUGAGAAAGGAGGGAAGAAUAUAUUAUGAAAAUGAGUUCAUAAUUCGUUUUCAAUAGAAAUUCUCUUUGGCGCUAACUUUACAAUAUAUACAAGUAAUAUGUUAGUUGCUGAUAAAAAAAUUUCAUGAUUGAAGUAACGAUUUUGAACGUUGAAAAAUGUAUUCUUUAAUGUAAAUUGUAUCAAACAAACAAAUAACGAAACGAAGAGAAAUUUUCGCGACCUCAA
rnacentral:rRNA from 1 species